ACACGACCGUACCGCAAACCGACACUGGUGCGCGAGAUGAGUAUUCUAAGGCGCUUGAGAGAACUCAGGAGAAGGAACUCGGCAAAUUGACACCGUAACUUCGGAAGAAGGUGUGCCUUUAGUAGGUGAACCUGUACAAGGGGAGCCCAAUGAGGUUGCAAAAAAUCGGUGGCUGCGACUGUUUAAUAAAAACACAGCACUCUGCAAACACGAAAGUGGACGUAUAGGGUGUGACGCCUGCCCGGUGCUGGAAGAUUAAAUGAUGGGGUGCAAGCUCUUGAUUGAAGUCCCAGUAAACGGCGGCCGUAACUAUAACGGUCCUAAGGUAGCGAAAUUCCUUGUCGGGUAAGUUCCGACCUGCACGAAUGGCGUAACGAUGGCCACACUGUCUCCUCCUGAGACUCAGCGAAGUUGAAAUGUUUGUGAUGAUGCAAUCUCCCCGCGGAAAGACGGAAAGACCCCAUGAACCUUUACUGUAGCUUUGUAUUGGACUUUGAACAGAUCUGUGUAGGAUAGGUGGGAGGCUUUGAAGUGUGGUCGCUAGAUCGCAUGGAGCCAACGUUGAAAUACCACCCUGGUGUGUUUGAGGUUCUAACCUAGGCCCGUAAUCCGGGUCGGGGACAGUGCAUGGUAGGCAGUUUGACUGGGGCGGUCUCCUCCCAAAGCGUAACGGAGGAGUUCGAAGGUACGCUAGGUACGGUCGGACAUCGUGCUAAUAGUGCAAUGGCAUAAGCGUGCUUAACUGCGAGACUGACAAGUCGAGCAGAUGCGAAAGCAGGACAUAGUGAUCCGGUGGUUCUGUAUGGAAGGGCCAUCGCUCAACGGAUAAAAGGUACUCUGGGGAUAACAGGCUGAUACCGCCCAAGAGUUCAUAUCGACGGCGGUGUUUGGCACCUCGAUGUCGGCUCAUCUCAUCCUGGGGCUGUAGCCGGUCCCAAGGGUAUGGCUGUUCGCCAUUUAAAGAGGUACGUGAGCUGGGUUUAAAACGUCGUGAGACAGUUUGGUCCCUAUCUUCCGUGGGCGCUGCAGAUUUGAGGAAGCCUGCUCCUAGUACGAGAGGACCGGAGUGGACACACCUCUGGUGUAUCGGUUGUCACGCCAGUGGCAUUGCCGAGUAGCUAUGUGUGGAAGAGAUAACCGCUGAAAGCAUCUAAGCGGGAAACUCGUUUCAAGAUGAGAUCUGCCGGGGCCUUGAGCCCCCUAAAGAGUCGUUCAAGACCAGGACGUUGAUAGGUCGGGUGUGGAAGCGCAGUAAUGCGUUAAGCUAACCGAUACUAAUUGCUCGUGCGGCUUGAUCAA
rnacentral:rRNA from 1 species